UUCCGUAUGUGAACCUGCGGAAGGAUCAUUAC
rnacentral:rRNA from 1 species